rnacentral:rRNA from 1 species
UACAGAGGAGCCAAGCGUUGUCCGGAUUGACUGGGCGUAAAGCGCACGCAGGCGGCACCGCGCGUGGGGUGUGAAAUCUGGCCGCUUAACGGCCAGGCGCCAUCCCAUACGGCGGAGCUGGAGUGAUGCAGAGGUCGGUGGAAUUCCUGGUGUAGCGGUGAAAUGCGUAGAUAUCAGGAGGAACACCGGUGGCGAAGGCGGCUACCUGGACAGAAACUGACGCUGAGGCGCGAAAGCUAGGGGAGCAAACAGG